AUGGCCGACGCGGGUCAAAGUGUAGUAUCUGUUCUUAUCGGCUUAAUGACUGAUGCGAGUUCUAUUUGGACCCAAGAUUUUAAACUUACUUUUGCAAAUUGGCGGAGUGCUUCAAGCCUGCUUCCUUCCCCUCCACCGCGUGUCGGCCGGUAUUGCACUAUUUUCGGGAUCGGCCCACGGCUU